CCCAGCUCCUCCCAACCCCAUCUCACUCUGGAGGCUCUGGAAUCGAGAGAGUUUGGCAAGGGAUAGAGGUUUUUGAGGUGGGAACAAACAAUUUGAGGUGGGAUUGUGUUUUAUGGCUUAAAAUACAGUUGUUUUCAGUAGCAUGUGAGUGGUUUUGAGGUGAAAGAUGGAUCCCUCUUGGCUUUUGGAGUGCAGAGGGAUGGAGAAGAGAAAAAAAUUAAGGUGAACACAAAAGGAAAAGCAGCCAGCUGUGUUCCCAACAUGGAUGACAGGGAAUGUGGGUGACCAGGGCUGUGCCCAGUGUGGGUCCUGUAGUGGGGGAUGGAGUUUUGCUCUUCUCACACUCGGGGCACUCACAGGGCUUCCCUUACCGGUGCCUCCGUUGGUGUUGGGCCCAGGUAGAGCUCUGUGAGAAGCUCUUCCCACACUGGGGACACUCGUAGGGCCUCUCCCCGGAGAGGAGAGCGGGUGAUGAGGUGGGAGUUCCUCCUGAAUCCCUUCCCGCAGUCAGGGCAGCAGAAGGGCCUCUCCUCUGUGUGAACCCGAUAGUGCUUGAGGAGAUCGGAGCUGGUCUGAAACCUCUUCCCACACUUGGAACACUUGUAGGGCCGUUCCCCAGUGUGGAUCUACUGGUGGCUGACCAGGUUGGAGCUCUGGCUGAAGCUCGUCCCACACUCCCCACACUUGCAGGGCCUCUCCUCAUUGUGGAUCCUCUGGUGCACGAUCAGCUGGGAGCUGUACCUGAAGCUCUUCCCACACUCUGAGCACUUGUGGGGCUUCUCCCCAUCCUGGAGCUGCUCAUGGACCACCAGCUCCGAGCUCUGGCUCGAUUUCCGGCCGCCUCCCUAGCCCAGGGUGGUUCUUUCCUCCUCAGAUCCCCGUGAUCUGUUUUUGCAGCCCCUCCUCGUGUGGCAUCUCCAGGGCUUUUCCCCCCCGUUGGGUUCCUGCACCGUGGAGCCGCUCAAAACGGCCUCUUCCACGAGGUUCUGCCGCGGGGAUUUGUCCUCCCUGCUCUCCAUCCUGUGCUCCUGUUCUGGGCUGCUCAGGGAUGGGUUUGGCCCGUGUCCCUCGAAGCAGCGACUGCCCAAGCAGCUGCGCUGGCCCCGGGCUCUCCUCCCGGCCUGCUGGGCUUUGUUGGGUGGCACAGCCUGUGCCAAGGGGCGGCAAGGGGCCUGCAGGCCCCAGCUCUGGGGGAAACAGAGAACGUCCUGGCCGUGUCCACCGUGCUGCCAGCUCGGCAGUGCAGCACAGCACGGGCUCACGCUCCCUUUUGCUCCCACAGAAGAGCUUGGCAAGUCACACAUAAAUGCCAGGAAUCCUUUGAGCACCCCAAGAAUUGUCUGCCCCCAGGAUGUGCGCAGGUCCUGCAUGAUAAGCACGGUAGUGACACUGUUCACUGUGCCAUUUCUAUGGUCCUGUGCUAUGUGGGGUUCCAGUAGUGGAAGGAAAAGAAACAUGCUUUUUUCAGUUAUUUGAGAUAGUGAAUGAUGGCUGGACCAUCGAGGAUCUCAUCUCGACGGUGGUAGCUCUAUUCCCCUUCCUCUCUUUUCUCUCUAUUUCCCUUUUCUGUCCCUUCUAUUGCAUUUGCUGUUGGUACCUAAAUAAAGAUGCAUUUGUUGUGAUUAAA